GACGAACGCUGGCGGCGUGCCUAAUACAUGCCAGUUGAGCGCUGAAGGUUGGUACUUGUACCAACUGGAUGAGCAGCGAACGGGUGAGUAACGCGUGGGGAAUCUGCCUUUGAGCGGGGGACAACAUUUGGAAACGAAUGCUAAUACCGCAUAAAAACUUUAAACACAAGUUUUAAGUUUGAAAGAUGCAAUUGCAUCACUCAAAGAUGAUCCCGCGUUGUAUUAGCUAGUUGGUGAGGUAAAGGCUCACCAAGGCGAUGAUACAUAGCCGACCUGAGAGGGUGAUCGGCCACAUUGGGACUGAGACACGGCCCAAACUCCUACGGGAGGCAGCAGUAGGGAAUCUUCGGCAAUGGACGAAAGUCUGACCGAGCAACGCCGCGUGAGUGAAGAAGGUUUUCGGAUCGUAAAACUCUGUUGGUAGAGAAGAACGUUGGUGAGAGUGGAAAGCUCAUCAAGUGACGGUAACUACCCAGAAAGGGACGGCGAACUACGU
rnacentral:rRNA from 1 species